rnacentral:misc_RNA from 1 species
GAAAUGCGAUAAGUAAUGUGAAUUGCAGAAUUCCGUGAAUCAUCGAAUCUUUGAACGCACAUUGUGCCCUCUGGUAUUCCGGGGGGCAUGCCUGUCCGAGCGUCAUUGCGAACCCCUCAAGCACGGCUUGUGUGAUGGGCCCUCCCGCGUCUUGAUCGUCAAGACGGGCCCGAAAUGCAGUGGCGGCUUCGCGGUUAUCCGAUCAGCCAGAGCGUAUGGGGACUCUCUCUCUGUCACACGCCCGCGGCGCGGACCGACGCCUGUCGACCUUUAUUCAUCUUUUCCCGGUUAACCUCGGAUCAGGUAGGGAUACCCGCUGAACUUAAGC